AAAGUCAGCUCUAUUAGCCUUUCUGGCAAGCGGUCUCGAGGCUGAAACACUUUUGUUAAUAUGUACAAAUUCUUUUCUUUAUGUGUCGUUUGCUUCUGCUGUCAUUUCCAAUUCAAUAGUUGUUCUUUCUUUCCCCAUCUUGUAUUUGAUUUGGGCUUUGUAUUUAGCGAGAACAUAUAAAUGAUUGUUUCUGUUUCAAGGACAUUGUAGGCAUAAAAAAGUAUAGCAUUUGUAUCUCUCGAAUCCUAAAGAUAGAUGUGCUCCAAAAGGUCUUUAGACG
rnacentral:misc_RNA from 1 species